rnacentral:rRNA from 1 species
AGCAGUGAGGAAUAUUGGUCAAUAGCCUAACUGGCUGAACCAGCAACUUGGAGGAAUGUAUAGGGAAAACUGGUAAAAUGUGAUGUACCUAAUAGUAUUAGUGAUUAAUAUGAAAUUAACUUAGUUAAUUAAAAUUCAGAGUAGAUAUGUGAUUAUGACAAUAUUUGCUUAUUUCUUGACCAAGUCACGUGCCAGCAGUCGCGGUAAUACGUGGUAGAUCAGUGUUAUUCAUCUUUAACAGGUUUAAAGGGUACCUAGACGGUUAAUUAAGCAUAUUUGUGUACUAAUUAUUAACUAGAGUUUAAUGUAAGAAGGAUUGAGUACGGUGAGUGUAGAGAUAAAAUUCUGUCAUACCACUUAGGAACUGGUAAGGCGAAGGCAACCUUUUAUGUAAAAACUGACGUUAAGGGACGAAGGCUCGUAUUAAGUAAUAGGAUUAGAGACCCUAGUAUUGUGGGCAGACAAUGAUGAGUGUCAUAUGCAAGAAAAAUUUUGUGUAUAAAUGAAAGUGUAAGCACUCCACCUCAAGAGUAACGUGGCAACAUGGGAACUGAAAUCAUUAGACCGUUUCUGAAACUCGUAGUGAAGUAUGUUGUUUAAUUUGAUAAUCCGCAAAUAACCUUACCACAAUUUGAAUUACUGGUAAAAUUAAAACUAGUAACAAGCGUUGCACGGCUGUCUUCAGUCAAUGUUGUGAAACUUUGGUUAGAUCCAUUAAAUUGACGUAAACCCUUGCUUUAUUUGUUAUAAAGCAGUUCGCCGCUAUAUUGGUAGUGAUAUAAGGACUAAGACA